CUAUUCAAAGAUUAUAAAACUAAAAUCUAUGCGAAGUAGGUCGUAAUUUCUUUGUCAGCACACAGGUAGACAUGCAGUUGCUUGAAUUUCGGUCUAACCGCCUGCCGGAAGCUCGUAAAAAAUUCAGAUAUACACAAGUGCACCUAAAGCUGCCGGUGUGUGUGUGUGUGUAUUUAUUGUAUAUACUAAAUAUGUAUUCACUGUACUGUUCGGGCCAAGGACAUCAGCACAGCUCUGCAGGGCUUCUAAACUUGAACUAGGGUAUUCCCAUUUGUCGAUGAGCUUUGUAACUUGCAACAGAAGUGGGCAUAUCUCCCUAAAGUCUGGCAUAAGCCACAGCUGUCAGGGUAUUCCUAGCCUCGACCUGAAUCUGUUGUCCCAAUCAUGAUAGAAUGGCCGAUUAAAUGAUUGAAUGAAGUUGAAGCAGUUUAAUUAAAAAGGCAAGAAAAGUGCUGAGAACAAAAGUGCAUAUAAAUUGCGAAUACGAAAUCCAACAAAGAACAAAAGUACGAAAUUGCGUUUUGGAAAUUGUAAUUUGAAAAAGUAUUUAAUCUAACAGCUGCAGCAAAGCUCAAAACUGCAAACAUCUGUGCUGACGCCUCGCCAAAUUUCAAGAGCUGUAUUUAAAUCAUGCUCGCAUCGCCAUGCACCACAUCCUGAACGUUGGCACGUCGCAUUCAAAUGCUGGAAUAAGCUGCACAGAGGCCACAUAAAUUUCAAAAUGAGAACUAAUGAGUGCACAUUCAGGCUAAAAGGAAGCUGACUAGCUGACUGCUUGGGUGACUGGCUGGCUAGCUGGCUGCCUUGCUGGCUGGCAUGCCAAGGGGUGACCGACUAGCGUUUCUACUUCCUUGUACUUUUAACAGGGUCAAACUAAGUAGGAAAUGCAAAGUGCAUUCACAUUUUGAUUUCAUUAUUGCCUUUCACUACAAAUCUGACUUCCGGGUACAUGAUUCUAUCUGGCGCUUGAAUGCAAUCAAUGGCCCCCAUUAUGGGCUUAGACUCCUCGCACAAGGUGGGGCAUUGAAAUGCAGCUCAAGGAGUCGCUAGGGACAGACAGGAUGCGGGCCAGUGGGACGUUCAGCCAAUGCCUAUGGAAGGUAAGUCCGGAAAAGCUACGAGUGCCAAGCUUCUUGCAACCACGACUAAAAAAGCGUAGCAGGGUGCACAACUUUCGGCAGUCAGUGUUAGCUGAACGCUUUGUGUGCGGCUUGAAAGAGAUUUUCGCUUUGCGGAAAUCAGGCCAACAACAAAAAAUAUGCUUUUCGUGAGAGGUUGCAAGGAUUUGCGGCUUUACUAAAUGAAUAGAGGGCUCUAAACUUGAGUGCCAAACCUGAGCGACUGGGUAAGAAGACAUUCAGUCAAUUUAAAACUCUAUAAAAAAUAUUAAAUAUAUGAGACAUGAUAUAAAUAUGAGACAAGUAUUAACUAUUUCUGUCUUAGCAGCUCACAUUUAUGACAGGCCCCAAAGCUUAAUGACUUACAUAAAUCAGCACAAUAAAGGCAAUGAAAUAAAUAAAAGAAACUUUCGAAAAGUAUGCUAAAUACAGCCCAAGCAUGAUCGGUCGGUCCAAAGAAAUAAUGCGAAAAAGAGCGGAAACGUGCAAGAGCGCACAGGCUGGACCAUGAGCAAGGACAAUGAGCAUGCGACGAAGGUCGCUGAACAGAAUAACGAAUUUCCGUCACACCAAAAAUAAGAGAAUUAAGUUCUGUAUCAAUGGCAAAGCCAAUGGCAUUCAAGUUUGACAUAUAAAAACAAAAAAAAAAAAUACCAAAAGGGUUCCCGAACGGAAGGUCGAAAUGGCGGCACCGGACAUGAAAUAAUUUCAAUUUUGUGCAUUUCCUUGUUCGCCAGAUUGUCUUGAAGAUGGGCCCAAGUCAAAGGAAAAUAUUAAAACCGAAUUUAAAUUUUUAAUAAACUUUUGCC